UACGUAGGGUGCAAGCGUUGUCCGGAAUUAUUGGGCGUAAAGAGCUCGUAGGCGGUUUGUCGCGUCUGCCGUGAAAGUCCGGGGCUCAACUCCGGAUCUGCGGUGGGUACGGGGCAGACUAGAGUGAUGUAGGGGGAGACUGGAAUUCCUGGUGUAGCGGUGAAAUGCGCAGAUAUCAGGAGGAACACCGAUGGCGAAGGCAGGUCUCUGGGCAUUAACUGACGCUGAGGAGCGAAAGCUGGGGAGCGAACAGG
rnacentral:rRNA from 1 species